AUUGAACGCUGGCGGCAGGCCUAACACAUGCAAGUCGAACGAGUGGCGGACGGGUGAGUAAUGUCUGGGAAACUGCCUGCUGGAGGGGGAUAACUACUGGAAACGGUAGCUAAUACCGCAUACCCUAGAAUGUGCCCAGAUGGGAUUAGCUAGUAGGUGGGGUAACGGCUCACCGAGGCGACGACCCCUAGCUGGUCUGAGCGGAUGACCAGCCACACUGGAACUGAGACACGGUCCAGAUUCCGACGGGAGGCAGCAGUGGGGAAUAUUGCACAAUGGGCGCAAGCCUGAUGCAGCCAUGCCGCGUGUAUGAAGAAGGCCUUCGGGUUGUAAAGUACUUUCAGCGGGGAGGCGUUACCCGCAGAAGAAGCACCGGCUAACUCCGGGCCAGCAGCCGCGGUAAUAC
rnacentral:rRNA from 1 species